CGACGGUAAUGACCAUUUUCAAUAGUAUUUGUACGUCGCGUGUUCAUUUCAAAGCCGGAUGGGUCAAGCGACAUUUACGAAUGGUUUAUAACAAAGAAAAUAUAACUCAAAUUACGAUGCACAAAAGUUAGUUUUUUCAGAAUUGUUUUCUCAUGCCGGACACGUACAACAAGUGAUGCAUUUCUCAGAAUUAUUGUCCUUAACUGUGUGUACUCG